UAGGGAAUCUUCGGCAAUGGGGGGAACCCUGACCGAGCAACGCCGCGUGAGUGAAGAAGGUUUUCGGAUCGUAAAGCUCUGUUGUUAAGGAAGAACGAGUGUGAGAAUGGAAAGUUCAUACUGUGACGGUACUUAACCAGAAAGGGACGGCUAACUACGUGCCAGCAGCCGCGGUAAUACGUAGGUUCCGCGCGUUGUCCGGAUUUAUUGGGCGUAAAGCGAGUGCAGGCGGUUAGAUAAGUCUGAAGUUAAAGGCAGUGGCUCAACCAUUGUCGGCUUUGGAACCUGUUUAACUUGAGUGCAGAAGGGGAGUGUGGAAUUCCAUGUGUAGCGGUGAUAUGCGUAGAUAUAUGGAGGAACGCCGGUGGCGAAAGCGGCUCUCUGGUCUGUAACUGACGCUGAGGCUCGAAAGCGUGGGGAGCGAACAGG
rnacentral:rRNA from 1 species